UACGGGAGGCAGCAGUGGGGAAUAUUGCACAAUGGGCGCAAGCCUGAUGCAGCAACGCCGCGUGAGCGAAGAAGGUCUUCGGAUCGUAAAGCUCUUUUCUUAGGGAAGAAAAAUGACGGUACCUAAGGAAUAAGCACCGGCUAAAUACGUGCCAGCAGCCGCGGUAAUACGUAUGGUGCAAGCGUUAUCCGGAAUCACUGGGCGUAAAGGGUGCGUAGGCGGUUUUGCAAGUCAGAAGUGAAAGGCUACGGCUCAACCGUAGUAAGCUUUUUGAAACUGCAAGACUAGAGUGCAGGAGAGGUAAGUGGAAUUCCUAGUGUAGAGGUGAAAUUCGUAGAUAUUAGGAGGAACACCAGUGGCGAAGGCGACUUACUGGACUGUAACUGACGCUGAUGCACGAAAGCGUGGGUAGCGAACAGGAUUAGAUACCCCUGGUAG
rnacentral:rRNA from 1 species